GAUGAACGCUGGCGGCGUGCCUAAUACAUGCAAGUAGAACGCUGAAGCUUGGUGCUUGCACCGAGCGGAUGAGUUGCGAACGGGUGAGUAACGCGUAGGUAACCUGCCUCUUAGCGGGGGAUAACUAAUGGAAACGAUAGCUAAUACCGCAUAAAAGUCGAUAUCGCAUGAUGUUGACUUGAAAGGUGCAAUUGCAUCACUAAGAGAUGGACCUGCGUUGUAUUAGCUAGUUGGUGAGGUAACGGCUCACCAAGGCAACGAUACAUAGCCGACCUGAGAGGGUGAUCGGCCACACUGGGACUGAGACACGGCCCAGACUCCUACGGGAGGCAGCAGUAGGGAAUCUUCGGCAAUGGGGGCAACCCUGACCGAGCAACGCCGCGUGUGUGAAGAAGGUUUUCGGAUCGUAAAGCUCUGUUGUAAGAGAAGAACGAGUGUGAGAGUGGAAAGUUCACACUGUGACG
rnacentral:rRNA from 1 species